CCUCGAACUAUGUCAAAUAAAUUACAUUGGGUUCUACCUGAUAAAUUAGCGUGAGAGCUUGCAGUCUUGCCAAGGUCAAUGAGGUAACGGAUUGCUAAAUCAGUAAGUGCAUCCAAAGCCGAACCUUUGAAACCCUGAAACCCCAGGGCCCCGCAUAUUUGCGCAACUGCAAUUCUCGACAUCGCCCAACCAAAGUCAUCCGCUUUGGGUCUUCCCUGUGUGCUCUGUGCACCUCCAUUGCUCAUAUUUGAACCCUCAUGUCAAAAAUAAUCCAUUAAUCACCAACCAAUUGAAAUACUAGAAGCCCAAGAACCAUGAGAUACCAAAAUUUUCCUCAGGAAACAAGGAGAGAAAAAGGGAGAAGCUAGUUCUAGAAACACUAAG
rnacentral:misc_RNA from 1 species